rnacentral:rRNA from 1 species
GACGAACGCUGGCGGCGUGCUUAACACAUGCAAGUCGAACGGAAAGGCCCUGCUUUUGUGGGGUGCUCGAGUGGCGAACGGGUGAGUAACACGUGAGUAACCUGCCCUUGACUUUGGGAUAACUUCAGGAAACUGGGGCUAAUACCGGAUAGGAGCUCCUGCUGCAUGGUGGGGGUUGGAAAGUUUCGGCGGUUGGGGAUGGACUCGCGGCUUAUCAGCUUGUUGGUGGGGUAGUGGCUUACCAAGGCUUUGACGGGUAGCCGGCCUGGGAGGGUGACCGGCCACAAUGGGACUGAGAUAGGGACCAGACUCCUACGGGAGGCAGCAGUGGGGAAUAUUGCACAAUGGGCGGAAGCCUGAUGCAGCAACGCCGCGUGCGGGAUGACGGCCUUCGGGUUGUAAACCGCUUUCGCCUGUGACGAAGCGUGAGUGACGGUAAUGGGUAAAGAAGCACCGGCUAACUACGUG